CAGUAGCCGCGGGAAUACAGAGGGUGCGAGCGUUAAUCGGAUUUACUGGGCGUAAAGCGUGCGUAGGCGGAUAUUUAAGUCAGGGGUGAAAUCCCGCAGCUCAACUGCGGAACUGCCUUUGAUACUGGGUAUCUUGAGUAUGGAAGAGGUUAGUGGAAUUGCGAGUGUAGAGGUGAAAUUCGUAGAUAUUCGCAGGAACACCAGUGGCGAAGGCGGCUAACUGGUCCAUAUCUGACGCUGAGGUGCGAAAGCGUGGGGAGCAAACAGGAUUAGAUACCCCCGUAGUCCCUGUCUCUUAUAC
rnacentral:rRNA from 1 species